AAGAGUUGCAAGACUCCCACACAACACCCUCGCGAACGUUACCCCAGACGUCGUUGCUUCGGCGGGCCCUGCCCGCCGGGGGGACGACCUACCAGACCCUUUGCAGUUCUCCGGCCUCUCUGAGUAUGAUUUUUCAAUAAGUCA
rnacentral:misc_RNA from 1 species